GUUCGGAGUUACUGGGCGUAAAGGGUGUGUAGGCGGUUGUUUAAGUUUGGUGUGAAAUCUCCCGGCUCAACUGGGAGGGUGCGCCGAAUACUGAAUGACUUCGAGUGCGGGAGAGGAGAGUGGAAUUCCUGGUGUAGCGGUGAAAUGCGUAGAUAUCAGGAGGAACACCGGUGGUGUAGGCGGCUCUCUGGACCGUAACUGACGCUGAGACACGAAAGCGUGGGUAGCAAACAGGAUUAGAUACCCUGGUAGUCCACGCCCUAAACGAUGCACACUUGGUGUGGGCAGUUCAUUCUGUCCGUGCCGGAGCUAACGCGUUAAAUGUGCCGCCUGGGGAGUACAGUCGCAAGGCUGAAACUCAAAGGAAUUGACGGGGGCCCGCACAAGCGGUGGAGCAUGUGGUUCAAUUCGACGCAACGCGAAGAACCUUACCUGGGCUCGAACGGCUGGUCAACGGCGGUGGAAACAUCGCUACCCCGCAAGGGGGUCCAGUCGAGGUGCUGCAUGGCUGUCGUCAGCUCGUGUCGUGAGAUGUUGGGUUAAGUCCCGCAACGAGCGCAACCCUUGUCCUGUGUUGCCAUCAUUCAGUUGGGAACUCGCAGGAGACCGCCAGCGAUAAGUUGGAGGAAGGUGGGGAUGACGUCAAGUCCUCAUGGCCUUUAUGUCCAGGGCUACACACGUGCUACAAUGGCCGGUACAAUGCGUCCCGAACCCGCGAGGGGAAGGCAAUCGCAAAAAACCGGUCUCAGUUCGGAUUGCAGGCUGCAACUCGCCUGCAUGAAGCUGGAAUCGCUAGUAAUGGCAGAUCAGCACGCUGCCGUGAAUACGUUCCCGG
rnacentral:rRNA from 1 species